rnacentral:rRNA from 1 species
CUACGGGAGGCAGCAGUGGGGAAUAUUGGGCAAUGGGCGAAAGCCUGACCCAGCAACGCCGCGUGAAGGAAGAAGGUCUUCGGAUUGUAAACUUCUUUUAUGAGGGACGAAGGACGUGACGGUACCUCAUGAAUAAGCCACGGCUAACUACGUGCCAGCAGCCGC